GACACAGUUACAGCUUUACCUUGGACUCUGAAAGCAGUGGUCAGUACUACUGUGAGGUUCAGGAUGAACACGGAUCUAAAAUAUCAGAAGCAGUGCUGCUUAGUUUCAAAGGGAAUCCAAGUUUCACUCUUUACGUGAUUGUUGGAGUUGUGAUUGGGUGUGUAGGGUUGGUCCUUGCUCUUGUCAUUUUAUUUAUAUGGAGAAAGAGAAGAGGUCCUGUAGCAGAACAAUCCAAACCAAAGUGGGAAAACAUCUACAGCAGUGUUGCAGUGGAUGAUACUACAAAUGACCCACCACCAGAUGCAGCCAAUCAAGACGAUGGUUUUUAUGCUAGAGUACAACUCCCCAGACCAAAGAAACCCACGACCAAAGAGCGCUCUGCAGUUUCCCACGAGGAGGUUCAGUACAGUACCAUCCAGCCCCAUGGUCAAGAGGUGAGGAAGACUGGAGAAGAUGAUGUACAGUAUGCUAGUGUCAGCUUUCCCCGUACUGUUCCGUCCC